rnacentral:lncRNA from 1 species
UCCAGUGCUCGCCGAUCUAACCCCUAUGGGCCAAAGAUAUCGAUGACUAAGAAACAAAAGCUAACCCAUUAAGGAUCCCUGACUCCUCGCUCUUCAGCAUGUAGAGCAUCAGAAGAUCUUAGUCAUACGAGAAGCGAAGGCUAACUUAAGAGGAUCUUCAGAGGGCAAACCUGUGAGCUCAGCCCACCAACUUAGGUAGCACAAGAAGUAAAGGCAAACCCAAGGAGUUCCUUACAGGUGCUUCAUCUCCAAAUAAAUAUAGUCACAAGAAGGCCACUUCAUUCAUGAACAUGAAUAUAGUCAGGAGUACCUCACAGGCACCUCAUCUCUAGAUGAAUAUAGCCACG